rnacentral:rRNA from 1 species
AGAGUUUGAUCCUGGCUCAGAUUGAACGCUGGCGGCAGGCCUAACACAUGCAAGUCGAGCGGCAGCGGAAAGUAGCUUGCUACUUUGCCGGCGAGCGGCGGACGGGUGAGUAAUGUCUGGGAAACUGCCUGAUGGAGGGGGAUAACUACUGGAAACGGUAGCUAAUACCGCAUGACCUCGAAAGAGCAAAGUGGGGGAUCUUCGGACCUCACGCCAUCGGAUGUGCCCAGAUGGGAUUAGCUAGUAGGUGAGGUAAUGGCUCACCUAGGCGACGAUCCCUAGCUGGUCUGAGAGGAUGACCAGCCACACUGGAACUGAGACACGGUCCAGACUCCUACGGGAGGCAGCAGUGGGGAAUAUUGCACAAUGGGCGCAAGCCUGAUGCAGCCAUGCCGCGUGUGUGAAGAAGGCCUUAGGGUUGUAAAGCACUUUCAGCGAGGAGGAAGGCAUCAUACUUAAUACGUGUGGUGAUUGACGUUACUCGCAGAAGAAGCACCGGCUAACUCCGUGCCAGCAGCCGCGGUAAUACGGAGGGUGCAAGCGUUAAUCGGAAUUACUGGGCGUAAAGCGCACGCAGGCGGUUUGUUAAGUCAGAUGUGAAAUCCCCGCGCUUAACGUGGGAACUGCAUUUGAAACUGGCAAGCUAGAGUCUUGUAGAGGGGGGUAGAAUUCCAGGUGUAGCGGUGAAAUGCGUAGAGAUCUGGAGGAAUACCGGUGGCGAAGGCGGCCCCCUGGACAAAGACUGACGCUCA